AGAGUUUGAUCCUGGCUCAGAACGAACGCUGGCGGCAUGCCUAACACAUGCAAGUCGAACGAAGCCUUCGGGCUUAGUGGCGCACGGGUGCGUAACGCGUGGGAAUCUGCCCUCAGGUACGGAAUAACUCAGGGAAACUUGAGCUAAUACCGUAUAAUGACUUCGGUCCAAAGAUUUAUCGCCUGAGGAUGAGCCCGCGUCGGAUUGGCUAGUUGGUGAGGUAAGAGCUCACCAAGGCGACGAUCCGUAGCUGGUCUGAGAGGAUGAUCAGCCACACUGGGACUGAGACACGGCCCAGACUCCUACGGGAGGCAGCAGUGGGGAAUAUUGGACAAUGGGCGAAAGCCUGAUCCAGCAAUGCCGCGUGAGUGAUGAAGGCCUUAGGGUUGUAAAGCUCUUUUACCCGGGAUGAUAUGACAGUACCGGUAGAAUAAGCCCCGGCUAACUCCGUGCCAGCAGCCGCGGUA
rnacentral:rRNA from 1 species